GACCUGCUCUAUAUAUAAAGCGUCUUGAGAUAACUUCUGUUGUGAUUUGACGCUAUACAAAAAUAAAUUUAAUUGAAUUAAAUUGAAUAUUGUUUAAAGAUUAUUAAUUUUUGUACAUCCUAACUCAUUAAUCACUAUAUUAGCAUUGGAAAGACACUAUUGUCUACUAUGGUCUUGAAAAGGACUUGACUGGACCUGGUCUUGAACUUGACUUGGACUCAAUUAAGUUGGCCUGAUUUUACUGUCAUCAGGCCAUUAAAUAGACAUUAUCAGUCGCUUUAAGCACCAUUGAUGUGGGUCAUUAGGGGCCUACUACAACUACUAUGUUGUAACAACGUCACAUUUUGAACACAAACAAAAAGGCAUCUUUAGGUUUAGACAACAAAACUACAACUUAUUUAGGUUUAGGGCAAUACAAUUACAAGUUCUUUAGGUAUAGACAACAAAACUACAACUUCUUUAGGUUUAGACAACAAAAUUACAAAUUCUUUAGGUAUAG